AGAAGUCAAUGCACUCUCAACCAAACUUGCAUGUGUUCUGAUGGUACCUAAUCUUCAUGUUUGUAUAUCCAUCAUUUAUUCAUGGAAAUGCAAAGAUGAAGCAUGAGGAGAGCUGAUGCUAGUUAUCUUCAAAAGAUGGAAGGGAACUAAUUAGAGACUCUGGAUUCUGCAUAAGUUGGCAUCUCACUGUCCUUUUUGAUUGGUUGGAGCCACAAGAAACCUCAACCAAGAAAAAUGGAAGUGGGUUGGAAGCAUCAAACUCCUCCACUGCACUCUUCUCCAGUUCUUCAUACCCUUCACAUCUCAUGUCAACAGGGCAAUACAGAAACCACCAAUAAAAGUGCUAUCUGGGCAAUGUGACAAGGGGACCAGUGCAAAAGCUUUUGUUGGGGAGCUAUUGGAUCCAUUUCUCCUUCCUUCCCCUUCUUCUUCAGCCUCUCUGUCCUUUUGCCUUUGGGAUGUGCUUUCAGUGGUCUUAAUAAUUCUCUGUGCCAAUGGCCCCUACCAUGCACCAGAAGCAUGAGGGUCUUUCUUUUUGUUCAUGUCAAGAGAAAGCAUGAAGCAAAAGAAUUCAUUGCAGCUCUCGAGAGAGGCCUGCAGCUGCAAGCGUGACUGCUGCUUCUGAAGCAUGCGUAGGGCAUUCUGACAAGAAGCAAAUGAUGUGUUUGUCGUUUCAACACACCCUAAAUACCACAUAAUCUUUGGUUUGGUUGUAAGAUUCUUCCAUCAUGACAUGAAAUAAUCAUGUCAUAUGUAAAGUUACUCUCUUUGUUCAAUAAGCCAUGUUGCUACACUCUCUUCGAACAAAAUCUAGAGAAUAGAUAGGUAUGCUUCUGCUAUGAUGAUAGCCUCUCUAGAUUCCUGAGUUGAUACAUGACAUGUUCAGAU